GGCCGAAGAGUGGAGUGGUGUGCUCCGUGAGACACAGGAAUCACAAGAAAUAAAUGCUCAGACAGCACCACAACAUAAGAAGAAACCAACUGCCUGCUGCAAUUAUCACUGCCGAGUUGUUUUAUUACUUUUUUUUAUUAAUUUGUUUCAGCCUUUGUAAAGAAAAUAAUAUCAAUGCUUGUUAUAAUGGUGUGCACAGUGUAUGAUGUUUUUAAUGUUCUUACAAUUAUAAGGAUAUGGGGAAAUGUUUGAGUAGCUUACAGUAUCAUUAGUACUUCAAUCUUGGCGGAACUAACCCUUCAUCUCUGUGUAGUUGUUCUUCCAUACUCACUGAGCUUCUUAACUCGUUUUGUGCCUUUAACACUAAUACAAAAAAAAAUACAAAAGCACUUUAAUAAAUUAAUAAUUGAUAAAAAUGCCUAACAGUCUGAUUUGUUCAGUGCUCAGUUUGCUGUGAAGGGAUUUUGUUAUGUACUCAACCUACUGUUUUCUCCAUUACCAAAAGUGGACACACGGUGGCGCUGGUGACCUUGCAAAGAAAUUUCAAAAGCACCUGUGAAACUACAAUGUUGAGAGAAAGUCGUCACUCAUCUAAGCUUCUUUUCAGGAGUUUGUUUUCAUAUGUUUAUUUAAUAUUUAAGAUGAGGUUUUUAAGUGGUGAAUCACAUUGUAGUGGGAGGGUGAUGUCAAUAUAAUGGGGGUUAAAGUCGUUUGUAAUUUUAAAAUAAUUAGUAAUUGGGCCAAUUACUUUACAGUUUUUUUCAUGUUUUGCUUCAAAAAAAGGAAAAAUACUUGAACUAGCUUAAACUAAUAGAAGUGAGUUAACGUUUAUGAAUAUUAAAAGCUAAAUAUACCACACAAACCUUAAAUAUAUGUAUUUUAUUUAUUCGUAUUUAGUUUAUUGAUGUAAUAUUUCAUAUUUGGAAAUAAAAGGCGUCACAAUUUGAAGGCACUUCCGUGUCGAAGUUAUUACGCGUAUGUUGGCGAGUUUACAAACAGUUCGGUAACGUUUCAUCACCGGAGCAUUUAACGAACGUCUUCACUUGGACUAACUUCGCUAACUGGUGGUACAAAGGACUUGACUUAACGUUACCAAAUGGCAAUUUUUCAUGUGAUUUUGAGCUGGACUGCUCAAGUGCUCAUGUUUCUGCUCUUUAUGAUUUUCAUAGCGUUUCUUGGUUACUGCUUGUAUAUUAAACACAUUCACAUGAAAUAUGACCACAUUCCUGGCCCACCGAGAAACAGUUUUUUAUUAGGACAUUCACCAACAUUAUUGAAGGCAAUGAAAAAUGGCGGAAUUGUGCACGACACAUUUCUGGAAUGGGCUGAGAAGUAUGGGUCUGUGUACAGAGUGAAUAUUUUCCAUUACGUUGUACUCUGUGUGACCUCACCAGAGGCAACCAAGGUAAACACUGGACUUGACAAUGAUUUAAUGUGUAAUCUUGAGUUGCAUGAA